rnacentral:rRNA from 1 species
AGGGGGCUAGCGUUGUUCGGAAUUACUGGGCGUAAAGCGCGUGUAGGCGGUUAUUCAAGUCGGGUGUGAAAGCCUUGAGCUCAACUCAAGAAAUGCACUCGGUACUGGGUGACUAGAGGACCGGAGAGGAUAGUGGAAUUCCCAGUGUAGUGGUGAAAUACGUAGAGAUUGGGAAGAACACCAGUGGCGAAGGCGGCUAUCUGGACGGUUUCUGACGCUAAGACGCGAAAGCGUGGGGAGCAAACAGG